rnacentral:rRNA from 1 species
GUGGGGAAUCUUGCGCAAUGGGCGAAAGCCUGACGCAGCCAUGCCGCGUGAAUGAUGAAGGUCUUAGGAUUGUAAAAUUCUUUCACCGGGGACGAUAAUGACGGUACCCGGAGAAGAAGCCCCGGCUAACUUCGUGCCAGCAGCCGCGGUAAUACGAAGGGGGCUAGCGUUGCUCGGAAUUACUGGGCGUAAAGGGCGCGUAGGCGGACAGUUUAGUCAGAGGUGAAAGCCCAGGGCUCAACCUUGGAAUUGCCUUUGAUACUGGCUGUCUUGAGUACGGGAGAGGUGAGUGGAACUCCGAGUGUAGAGGUGAAAUUCGUAGAUAUUCGGAAGAACACCAGUGGCGAAGGCGACUCACUGGCCCGUUACUGACGCUGAGGCGCGAAAGCGUGGGGAGCAAACAGGAUUAGAAACCGGGUAGUCC